UAAAAAUGGUAGCCAAGCCCAGAAAAUCAAUGUUUUUGCAGUUCUUGUUUUUCUCGCAUUAGUGCCACUAAUGUUGGGUGGGAAAGCGCUAGGAUGUGGUGGUGCAGGUCAAGGUUGUGGUGCUUUUAACUGGUGUUGUGACGGGUUGCAUUGCUCGGAUUCACUAUUCGGAGGUGAAUGUCUAUGGGAUCGAUGCAGGAAUCUAGGGGAGGGAUGUUAUAAUAAUCCUUUAAAUAUAAACGAAGCAUGCUGUGACCAAUAUAUGUGUAAUUACAUAAUUGAAGGUGUGGGUAUUUGUACGUCGCGAUAAGACAAAUUAAAACGCCAAUCUCCAAUAAUAUCCAUGAUGGUUCAUGCGUAUCAUUUCCUUUUUUUGCUAAGUAAUCCUGCCUAUGUCAAAAAAAUGUAAUAUAAAUAAGGAGCAAAGAUUGUUUCUGCUCUUCUUUUUCGAUUUGAUGUAAUGUACUGUUUGAGUGUGUUCCUUUUCAUAUAAAUAUGGUACGUUAGCCAUGAGUA